GUGAAUCAUCGAAUCUUUGAACGCAAAUUGCACUCCCUGGUAUUCCGGGGAGUAUGCCUGUUUGAGGGUCGUUAGAACAAAAAUCGAAGCGUCGCUCUUUUUUUUAAGGGUGGUCGCGUCCGAAUUGAACCGUCUUUCAAAUGUUAAUUCCUGUCCAAGGUGCUUGGAAUUCCUCCAUCCGGUACGGAUAAAGCCU
rnacentral:misc_RNA from 1 species